GAGAGUAUUUGCUGUAAGGGCUUCAAAAUUAAAUAGUCUUACGUUUUUUCUUUCCAAAUCAGCCAGUAGGCAGUUGACGCAAUAACCUUCCAUGCUUGCUUGGUGGUUUUGGUUAGUAGUCAUUCAUGCCAGCCUUCCCAUGGAUCUUUGACAGAUGAUUAUUUUACCGAGAUGUCAAGCUUUAUGGUGAGUCUCUGCCAAAUAGAUGCUGCAUAUGUACACAAGAUGAAGAGG
rnacentral:lncRNA from 1 species